CAGCAGUAGGGAAUUUUGCGCAAUGGGCGGAAGCCUGAUGCAGCAACGCCGCGUGCGGGAUGACGGCCUUCGGGUUGUAAACCGCUUUCGCCUGUGACGAAGCGUGAGUGACGGUAAUGGGUAAAGAAGCACCGGCUAACUACGUG
rnacentral:rRNA from 1 species